CGAGGGGCAGCGGGAUUGAAGCUUGCUUCAAUUGCCGGCGACCGGCGCACGGGUGAGUAACGCGUAUCCAACCUUCCGUACACUCAGGGAUAGCCUUUCGAAAGAAAGAUUAAUACCUGAUGGUAUGAUGAGAUUGCAUGAUAGCAUCAUUAAAGAUUUAUCGGUGUACGAUGGGGGUGCGUUCCAUUAGGUAGUAGGCGGGGUAACGGCCCACCUAGCCAACGAUGGAUAGGGGUUCUGAGAGGAAGGUCCCCCACAUUGGAACUGAGACACGGUCCAAACUCCUACGGGAGGCAGCAGUGAGGAAUAUUGGUCAAUGGACGAGAGUCUGAACCAGCCAAGUAGCGUGAAGGAUGAAGGUCCUACGGAUUGUAAACUUCUUUUAUAAGGGAAUAAACCCUCCCACGUGUGGGAGCUUGUAUGUACCUUAUGAAUAAGCAUCGGCUAACUCCGUGCCAGCAGCCGCGGUAAUACGGAGGAUGCGAGCGUUAUCCGGAUUUAUUGGGUUUAAAGGGAGCGCAGACGGGUCGUUAAGUCAGCUGUGAAAGUUUGGGGCUCAACCUUAAAAUUGCAGUUGAUACUGGCGUCCUUGAGUGCGGUUGAGGUGUGCGGAAUUCGUGGUGUAGCGGUGAAAUGCUUAGAUAUCACGAAGAACUCCGAUUGCGAAGGCAGCACACUAAUCCGUAACUGACGUUCAUGCUCGAAAGUGUGGGUAUCAAACAGGAUUAGAUACCCUGGUAGUCCACACGGUAAACGAUGGAUACUCGCUGUUGGCGAUAUACUGUCAGCGGCUUAGCGAAAGCGUUAAGUAUCCCACCUGGGGAGUACGCCGGCAACGGUGCAACUCAAAUGAAUUGACGG
rnacentral:rRNA from 1 species